rnacentral:rRNA from 1 species
UACGUGGGGGCCGAGCGUUGUCCGGAGUUACUGGGCGUAAAGGGCGCGCAGGCGGCGGCGUGGGUCCGGCGUGAAAGCCCCCGGCUCAACCGGGGAACGUCGUCGGGGACCGCGCCGCUUGAGGGCGGCAGGGGCCGGUGGAAUGCCUGGUGUAGUGGUGAAAUGCGUAGAGAUCAGGCGGAACACCCGUGGCGAAGGCGGCCGGCUGGGCCGUCCCUGACGCGUGAGGCGCGAAGGCGGUGGGGAGCGAACGGG